AAGUCGUAACAAGGUUUCCGUAGGUGAACCUGCGGAAGGAUCAUUAACACGUAUCCACACGUAUCCACCCCUAUGCGAAUUUGUUUUCAACCACUUCACGCUCUCGAGUCACACGCAGCAAUGUGUGUGUAUGAGAGAGUCUGAUUGUUUUUUACCAAACUAACCAUUUUCACCUUUAUAACUUUUGCUAGUUGGCUUUGUUUAAUAUAUACAUAUCUUUACUGAUGUGUAUGUAAAUUUUCUACUGAAAAUUCACACAACAUACAACUCUUAGCAAUGGAUAUCUUGGUUCUC
rnacentral:misc_RNA from 1 species